GAAAUGCGAUAAGUAAUGCGAAUUGCAGAAUUCCGUGAGUCAUCGAAUCUUUGAACGCACAUUGCGCCCUUUGGUAUUCCGAAGGGCAUGCCUGUUCGAGCGUCAUUAUCAACCCUCAAGCCCGGCUUGUUGUUGGGUCUCACCGUUAGCGAUGACGGCGGACCCCAAAGAUAAUGGCAGAGUCCCGUGGACCCUGGAUGCAGCGAGCUCUUCAGCACGCGUCUCGGUGGUUCCCGAGCUCUGUCUUAACCAAUUCAUUUACCAGGUUGACCUCGGAUCAGGUAGGGAUACCCGCUGAACUUAA
rnacentral:misc_RNA from 1 species